GUUUUAUCAAAAGGAAGAAAUUUACAAACAAGUGUAAAUUCAUAUAUUCAGAAUUCAGUAUUAUUUAGAGUUUUUGGAAUUUUUGUCAUGUUACUAUUGAAGAUAUAAGGCAGUAUUUCACAUGUUGUGCAGCACUUCUUGAAUGGGUUGAUCAAUUUAUUUCAAAGUUAAAAUGUUGGAUGGAUUGGAAAAAAGAUGUGUUUCCCGACUUUGUAACUUUUUAUUUUAUGGUACUUAUGGUAACACAGCUCUUUAUUAAGUUACUGUGUUUCUAAACACUGAUAGUGUCAGCAAUGUAUUUUAUGAAAUUUUCAUCUGAUAAUUUUAUACAAUAUAUUUUUUUUUUAUUUUAUUGUCCUUUGCUCAAAGAAUUGAAAAUAAGGCAUAUAUAUACAAUAUACAGAGUAUAAAGGGAUUUAUAUAAGAAUAGACAAUGGCAUGAAUAAAAAUCAAAAACGUGAAAAAGGACAAGUAUUGCAUUCAUAAACUAAAGUUUAUAUGCAGCUUUGCUUAUAUUAUUUUUUGAGAAUUAUACUAU
rnacentral:lncRNA from 1 species